rnacentral:rRNA from 1 species
GACGAACGCUGGCGGCGUGCUUAACACAUACAAGUCGAACGGUAAGGCCCUUCGGGGUACACGAGUGGCGAACGGGUGAGUAACACGUGGGUAAUCUGCCCUGCACUUCGGGAUAAGCCUGGGAAACUGGGUCUAAUACCGGAUAUUCAGUUCCUGCCGCAUGGUGGGGGUUGGAAAGUUUUUCGGUGCAGGAUGAGCCCGCGGCCUAUCAGCUUGUUGGUGGGGUAAUGGCCUACCAAGGCGACGACGGGUAGCCGGCCUGAGAGGGUGAUCGGCCACACUGGGACUGAGACACGGCCCAGACUCCUACGGGAGGCAGCAGUGGGGAAUAUUGCACAAUGGGCGAAAGCCUGAUGCAGCGACGCCGCGUGAGGGAUGACGGUCUUCGGAUUGUAAACCCCUUUCAGUAGGGACGAAGCGCAAGUGACGGUACCUGCAGAAGAAGCACCGGCCAACUACGUG